rnacentral:rRNA from 1 species
UACGUAGGGUGCAGGCGUUGUCCGGAUUUACUGGGCGUAAAGCGUGCGUAGGCGGUUCGUUAUGUCUGCUGUGAAAGCCCCGGGCUUAACCUGGGAAUGGCAGUGGAAACUGGCGGGCUUGAGUGUGGCAGAGGGGGGUGGAAUUCCGCGUGUAGCAGUGAAAUGCGUAGAGAUGCGGAGGAACACCGAUGGCGAAGGCAGCCCCCUGGGCUGACACUGACGCUGAGGCACGAAAGCGUGGGGAGCAAACAGG